GUGCUUGCUUCAGUAGCACAUAUAAUGAAAUGAUACAGAGAUGAGCACAGCCCCCGGGCAAGGAUGACAUGCAAAUUCAUGAUGUACUCCAUAUUUUU
ensembl:snRNA RNU6-399P RNA, U6 small nuclear 399, pseudogene